GACGGAAGGUGCAAGCGUUGCUCGGAAUCACUGGGCGUAAAGGGUGCGUAGGCGGCCGCGCAAGUCUGGCGUGAAAGCCCCGGGCUCAGCCCGGGAAGGGCGCUCGAAACGGCGCGGCUCGAGUGCCGGAGGGGAGAGUGGAAUUCCUGGUGUAGCGGCGAAAUGCGUAGAUAUCAGGAGGAAUACCGGUGGCGAAAGCGACUCUCUGGACGGCAACUGACGCUGAGGCACGAAAGCGUGGGGAGCAAACAGG
rnacentral:rRNA from 1 species